rnacentral:rRNA from 1 species
GACGACCGCUGGCGGCGUGCUUAACACAUGCAAGUCGAACGAAGUGGCGAACGGGUGAGUAAUACGUGAGUAACCUGCCCUCCUUUUUGGGAUAAGCCUUGGAAACGGGGUCUAAUACCGAAUAAAGGGGGAUGGGCUCGCGGCCUAUCAGCUUGUUGGUGGGGUGAUGGCCUACCAAGGCGGUAACGGGUCGCAGGCCUGAGAGGGUGACCGGCCACAUUGGGACGGGGAUACGGCCCAGACUACUACGGGAGGCAGCAGUGGGGGAUAUUGCACAAUGGGCGAAAGCCUGAUGCAGCGACGCGGCGUGGGGGAUGAAGGCUUGCGGGUUGUAAACCUCUUUCGCUAUCGAGCGGCUAGGUGGAGAAGAAGCGCCGGCUAACUACGUGCCAGCAGCCGCGGUAAUAC